UGUGUAGGCGGAAAAUUAAGCGUUGUGUGAAAUCCCCCGGCUUAACCGGGGAACUGCACAACGAACUGGUUUUCUUGAGGCAAGUAGGGGUGCAUGGAACUCUUGGUGGAGCGGUGGAAUGCGUAGAUAUCAAGAGGAACGCCAGCGGAGAAAUCGGUGCACUGGGCUUGUCCUGACGCUGAGACACGAAAGCGUGGGUAGCGAACAGGAUUAGAUACCCUGGUAGUCC
rnacentral:rRNA from 1 species